UACAGAGGUCUCAAGCGUUGUUCGGAAUCACUGGGCGUAAAGGGUGCGUAGGCCGCACGGUAAGUCAGAGGUGAAAUCCCGGAGCUCAACUCCGGAAUGGCCUCCGAUACUGCCGUGCUCGAGGACUGGAGAGGAGUCUGGAAUUCACAGUGGAGCAGUGAAAUGCGUGGAUAUUGUGAGGAACACUAGUGGCGAAGGCGAGACUCUGGACAGUUCCUGACGCUGAGGCACGAAGGCCAGGGGAGCAAACGGGG
rnacentral:rRNA from 1 species